UUUUUCGUCCGUUACCAACGGAGGAAUUUGAUUGGUCAUCAUCAACGUCCGUCAAUAAAAACGCCCCGCCCUAUUUGUAACUGGUCUGCAAGGAUGGAUUGUCAGGUGCCACUGUGUAACAGCUGUGUAUGGCCCAAAUACCCACAGACCAUUGACUUUCCAGAAAUCUUAACAAACUAGCUGGGUUGCUGUGGUGACAAAAAGGACAUCAUAGCUUCGCACAGUCCUCCACUCAGGGCACACCCAGAUGGAUGCCGACUUGCAGCCACACACAUUCACCUGCAGCCGCGCUUCGUCACAGCAACAGAUGGACGGCCUUGAGGCAGAGCCAGGGAGACUUGCAUUAGGGCAGAGCUGCCGGUUGAUUUCUAAGAUCAGGUGUGCGUCUACACAAAGGCACCUUCUGCUCUUUUCAAGUAUGGUGGUUUGCUAGCCUCAGGACAAAUGGGGACGCAAAACAACAGUGGCAUCUGUGGCAGCAACAUGUGCCGGAGCUGCGUGAGCGGCCCGGCCGAGCUGCAGCCAUACAUCAGCAGUCAGCCGGUGUUGGAGACGGGCC